rnacentral:tRNA from 1 species
UCCGAUAUGGUCUAGUGGUUAGGAUCACCCGCUCUCAUCCAGCAGAGUUAGCUUCGGCGCCGGGUAGGCCCGGGUUCGAUUCCCGGUAUCGGAA